rnacentral:tRNA from 1 species
AAAAUUAGAAAGCGAAUAAUUGCAUUUAGUUUCGACCUAAAUUUUAGACUUUAGUCUUCUAAUUUUG